rnacentral:misc_RNA from 1 species
GUGAAUCAUCGAAUUUUUGAACGCAAAUUGCACUUUCUGGUAUUACGGAAAGUAUGCCUGUUUGAGGGUCAGUAAAAUAAAAAUCGGUGUUGUUGCUGCUUUUCGUGCUUACGCGACUGAAUUGUGUUGUCUUACCUUCUUUUACGUGACUUAAAAUUUUGCAUGAUUUUCGAACGUAUUUAAAUUUUUUACUUACGUCUGAGAUAUCGAAUCCUUUAUUAGGUUCGGUCAU